rnacentral:RNase_P_RNA from 2 species
UGAGUAGUACAGAUGGUCGCGCCUAUAAGUGCCGAAAGGCCAUAGGUGAGGAAAGUCCGAGCUUCACAGGGCAGAGUGCCGGAUAACAUCCGGUGGAGGCGACUCUAAGGAAAGUGCAAUAGAAAUAUACCGCCGGGAAUUCCCGGUAAGGGUGGAAUGGUGGGGCAAGAGCCCACCGCCUGGAUGGUAACACCCAGGGCAUAUGUAAACCCCACUCGAAGUAAGACCGAAUAUUAAAGCGAUACGGCUGCCCGUCGUGCUUUAGGGUAGGUCGCGGUUCGCGAGAUACCUAGUAUCUCGAUGAUAUCUAGUAUCUCAAAGAUACUAAGGUAUCUUAGAGGUGCAAGCAUCUCUAAGGAAACUCAAAGUUUCUCAGAACGAGCCUCAUGGUAACAUGGGGCAAAGAUAGAUGACCAUUUGAUACAGAACUCGGCUUAUAGUACUGCUCAUGUA